rnacentral:misc_RNA from 1 species
AAGUCGUAACAAGGUUUCCGUAGGUGAACCUGCGGAAGGAUCAUUACUAGUUUAGGGUACUCAGUGCCCAAACUUCAACCCCAUGAUUUAAUUACUUGUUUCUUUGCCGGGUUUCAUUAUCCGGCAGAAGAUUUCUAAAACCCAACUGUUAAUUUGUCAUCUGAAAUUUGAUAAAUAAAUCAAGUAUAAAACUUUCAACAACGGAUCUCUUGGUUCUG